CCUGGUGUCGAGAGCAAACCGGUCCCACCUCUUCCCAUUUCGAACAGAGAAGUUAAACGGUUUUACGGCGAAGAUACUGUUUGGAGAACAUAUGAGAUUUUUGUAAUUUUUUUGU
rnacentral:rRNA from 1 species